AAGGGAGACCUAAUUCAGGUAGGAGACGAAAAAAAAGUAGUCGCUACCAAGAAUCAAUCCCAAAAGGUCGGAGCGAGGCGAAAUUGGCUUUCAAACUAGGUUCUGGGUUCACACAAGACCUGAAUCAGGAACAAGGGCUAUUAGCUCAGGUGGUUAGAGCGCACCCCUGAUAAGGGUGAGGUCCCUGGUUCGAGUCCAGGAUGGCCCACCUGUACAGGUGGCAAAAAGAAAGAAAAGAAGCGAGGAAUCAGCACCUUAUCUUACUGACAUAGUAAGAGAGAAUGCUGGCUCUGAGUAAAGAGUCCAGGGGAACCUUGAAAACUGCAUAGAGCUAGGUGAAAAAGCCAAAAAAGAAGACCGCAA
rnacentral:tRNA from 1 species